rnacentral:rRNA from 1 species
CCUACGGGUGGCAGCAGUGGGGGAUAUUGCACAAUGGGGGGAACCCUGAUGCAGCGACGCCGCGUGGGCGAUGGAGUGCUUCGGCAUGUAAAGCCCUAUUAGCAGGGAAGAAAAUGACGGUACCUGACUAAGAAGCACCGGCUAAAUACGUGCCAGCAGCCGCGGUAAUACGUAGGGGGCAAGCGUUAUCCGGAUUUACUGGGUGUAAAGGGCGCGUAGGCGGCCUGGCAAGCCAGAUGUGAAAUACCGGGGCCUAACCCCGGGGCUGCAUUGGGAACUGCCAGGCUGGAGUGCGGGAGAGGCAGGCGGAAUUCCUGGUGUAGCGGUGAAAUGCGUAGAGAUUAGGAGGAACACCAAUGGCGAAGGCGGCCUGCUGGACGAUGACUGACGCUGAGGCUCGAAAGCGUGGGGAGCAAACAGGAUUAGAUACCCCGGUAGUC